GCAAUAGGGUCAAAAAAUAAUUGCGAAAAAAAAGAAUCAAUGUCUAUCAAGUCCUCUUUCUUUGUUCCUAUUUUUUUUCAUAGCAGGUUUUUUCUGACUUCUAAUGAAAGGACUUUUUCUUCGAUUUUUCAAUAAAGACAAAUUUGAACUUCUUUCUUCCUUAUAAUAGAAAAAAAGUCACUAAACUUAUCGAAUUAACUUCUCAUUGAUGUAUUGUUUCAUCGAGAUUCAAUCCAAAUCAUGAUGGUAUUUUCUUGUUCUUGAAUGGGUCUCUUUCAUCUUUUUUAGGUUUAUGCUCUACUCCGGGUAAAGAUCCGCCCAAUUUUGAUUUGCACAUAUAGGACAAAUCUUCCCAUUACCAUUUCUUUUUGUUAUGGCUUUUUUUUUCCCAAUUCAUUUCAUACCUUUCACCAAGUAUUUAGUUUGAGAUUCCCUCGCUUGACAAAUAGGAUAUCUUUACAAAUACCAAACAGGAAUCAUUGCCCAGUGAGAAGAU
rnacentral:lncRNA from 1 species